CUGUUGGAGGCGGAGGCUGGAAGAGGGAGGUGAAGAGAUGGGGGAGUUUCAGAUCUAUUUCAAUGCGAAUUCUCCCAGAUGUAUCGUGUUUAACUUCUAACACUCUGCCUAUUUGUUGUACUGCUCUACUUAAGAGUUGUGGAGUGUUCCAUUCCAGAGUUUCAGAACGAAAUUUGAAGAUAUAGAUCCCACCAUCCCGAGAAGAGAUAUCAACAUGAUCCACCCGCCGGGCCUUCGUCAUUGCAACUUGAAAAG